rnacentral:tRNA from 1 species
GAAGGGGUGGCUCAGUGGUUAAGAGCACUGACUGCUCUUCCAGAGUUCCUGAGUUCAAUUCCCAGCAACCACA